rnacentral:lncRNA from 1 species
GAUUUGAUCAGUAAGGAAAUGUUUAGUACUAUAUAUUUGUUACGAAUAUUUGUUCCCACUAGUCUUUGUGCAUGUGUAUUUUACCUGUACCUGCGUCAAGAGAUAAAAAAAAAUUAUACAAAAGAAAAACAACUCAAAUGAAUUAUCUUACAAAUAAAGCUAUUAUAAUACAUAUAUAAUACCAUGAACAAAAUUACAAUAAUGUUACAUUGUUGAAAUUAAAAAAGUUAUAUUUUAGAUAAUAAAAUACUAAUUGAUUUUAAAGUCCCAUAUAAAGAUUUAGCAAGUAUUUUAGGUAAUUUCAAGAAAGGAAUAACUUCUAAAGCAUCACCCAUUAUCUUACGUAUAAUAUUUGCACUCCUUAUGGAUGAUAAAAGUUUGCUCGGUAUAUAUUUCCGCUAAUCAUGGUUGAUAUUUUUACAACCUCUUCAAGAACUAAACUUGGAAAAAUAGUACUAUUACUCGUUUUUGUUGUUAAUAGUGUUACAACUUCAAUAGACUCAUGUGAUCCGAUUCUUUCUCAGACCUCGCAUAUAACAAAAGCUUAAUGCUAUCAGGUUGUUCUUUUUAUUUUUACAACUUCAAAAAGAUCUAAAGGUGAAAAAAUAAUAUUACUCGUUUAAAACUUCAAAUAUUAGGAUUCUUACAAAGUCCUAAAUAUUAGGAAUAUGACCAAUUACAAAACCCAACAUAUUAGGAAUAUAAUUGAAUUAUUAUUUUAUCCAAUGUGAACUCUAUAUUUAAAGGAUAAAAAAGUUGGACGAUUCUUUCCAAGCUAAUGAAUAUUUUUUUGGUCAGAAGCUAAUGAAUAUAAUUAGUUUACAUUGUAAUAUAGCCUAUCUCUAACAACAGUCCCAUCACGAAAAAAUUAUUGUACUGGGAAAAAGAUUUAUUUAAAGAAACAUUUCAAGACACAUAGACUGAUUGAAUGGUUAAAGAAUUACAGCUAGUCAAGAGGCACGAGCUGCAACAGGUGCAAGCAAAUGACAGGAGAAGAGGCACAGCUAGUUAUUCAAAUAACUCAGCACCCGUACCUAUUGAAUUCAUUUAUAUCUGAGGGUCAAAAGGAAUGAAUUUGACAAUAGAAAAGAGUGCAGAUACGACAUUUAAUGGACGUUUAAUAUGAAAUACGUUAGGAAAUUUGUAUUGAAUGUAAUGAUUAUGUGACGUAGCAUUCAAUGUCUUUAAUUACUCAUAAUAGCCUCAUUAUGAUUUGGAAAAAACUUAUAUCUCUAGGACACCUAUAAAAGGGAGAUAGCUGAUAAGUUGAGGACAUGAAAUCAUUGAAAUAUAUCUUGGUUUACUUGUUUUUCUCUUGAAAUACUCUUUGGCUACUGAAAUUAUUUCCUUUUAUACAUUCUUUUGAUUAUCAUAACCCAUGUUCUUCUAAAACUAGUUUUGACUAAAAUCCUAUUUUUUGAUUAAACAAAUUGGUUCUGUUACCAGAAAUCUGAUGAUCUAUUUUCUAUAACUUAACUUUUCUUGUUUGUUAACUAUGUUGAACAACAAUGCAACACUCGAGGAAACCAAGAAAACCAACAAAAUCAGGAAGAUCCAUAAGAUAUUAACACUUCGAUUCCUACUCCACAAGGCUCUCCCCGACGAUCUCGUGAAGGAAUCCCUGAUAAGUCUCAAAUGAAUGAGCAUGCUCAAUUUGAGAAUGCUGAAACCGUUGAUGACAUUUUGUAGAAAUUAAUUGCUGCUCAGAUCAAUAAAGCUGUUGAAGUGCUUGUUAACUGGUUACCUUUUGCAGCCCCUACUCCGAUUCUGUAUAAUAACACUUUGGAUGACCCUCGUUCUGGACUUGUCAACUCAUGCAGGGGAAGGACAUCCAGUGAAUCACAAGAGAGGGAACCAUGUAUUGUGAUUAAUUCUAAUUUACAAAAUUUAAUACUAACCUUGAAGAGACAACUCAAGGAGCAAAGUAAGCGAAUAGAGAUGAUACCUGGGCUGAAACCUAUAAUUAAAGGAGUAGAUAUGGAUUGAUAUUCGCAACAACCUUGGAAGCCAAGUGUUGCUCCUCUUCCAAUUUCAAAAAAGUUUAAAACGCCUGACAUUCCAAAAUAUGAUGGAACGUCAGACCUACGACACCACGUGACUGCAUUCACGAGGGGUGAAAAAGGCAACGACUUGACUAAGCAGGAAAUUAAAUAUGUAUUAGUUAAGAAAUUUGGUGAAACACUCACUAAAGGAGAACUCACAUGGUACUCGCUUCUAUCUAAAAAUUCCAUAAAUUCUUUUGCUGAGCUUGCAGAUUCUUUCGUCAAAGCACACUCAGGAGCUCAAAAUGUGGAAAAAGAAUGGAAGAUAUUUUCAAGAUUAAGCAAGGGGACUCAUAAUUGCUUAGAGAAUUCAUCGACAGAUUUCCGUGUGAAAGAAUGACAUUGCCACGCGUACCUGACAACUGGGCAGCUAUAGCUUUAGUAAGCAAUUUAAAUGAAAAAAGCUCAGAAGCCACGUGGAGACUCAAAGAAAACCUUUGAGAAUUCCCAGCUACAAUAUGGAAUGAUGUUUAUAAUAGGUAUAGCACGAAGCUAAAGAUUGAGGAAGAUACCGUUCCAUAAUUUAAAAAAGAAGUAAAGGUAAGAUCAAGACAUGCGGAGACCAAAAAAAGAUCCGGUAAAAAUAGAUACGAGCCUUACACAGGAUCUGCGAGAAAGGACUCACGAUCAAGACAGGAUAAUCAAAGGUACGAUCAUAGACCAAGAAACAGAGAAUCAGGUUCUUUGUAAAAGCUCAGAAAUGAGGUAAAUAACUAUGAGUCACGAGAUUAUACAAAUUUAAUAGUAAGAUUUGGUGGCUAUAACUUUAACGUUAGCACCUCGAGCUUGUGGAUGUUUUGAAAAGCAUGAGAGAUAAGGUUCGAUGGCCAAAGGAAAUGAGAUUGGAUCCAAACAGGCGCAACCCUGAUCAUUGGUGCGAGUUUCAUAAUGACCACUGUCACACCUCCUUUUGACACUACAUCCCCGGCGAAGGGCAUAGAUAAAGGGAGUUUUUUUCAAUUUAAGGACAAUUGAAACGAGAUUUGUUUAUUUGAAGAGAUUUCUGAGUAGUCACUUGGGAUAAUUAAUAGUGUCCCAAGUCACCGAUUUAAAUCUCGAAUCGAGGAAGGUUUGACUCUGUUUAACAGUCUACGAACCAGAAAUCCGAGUAAGAAAUUCUGUUAAUCCAGAAAAAGUUGUUUGGCACUCUCGAAUUCCGUGGUUCUAGCACGCUUGCUCAACGGCUAUAUUUGGCUUAAUUAUCUAAUUUUAAAAUAUUUUUUGUGCCUAUGUAUAACUUUUUAUCUUUUAACCGCUUUUAUUCAGGUGGGAAUAUUGCAACACUGUUAAAACAUGUCUUGUACCACGUUAUAUAAAUGCACUCGCGGUCUUAGACAUAUUUUGACAUUGUUGAAAUUUGGAUUUUGAUCACAUAAAUGCGCACUCGAAUUUAGGAAGAUAAUAUUAUUAAAAGGACGUGCCUAAAGCAAUUACGCGUUAACAAUUUUGCGAGGAUCAUAAAAAUUCGCUAAACAGCGCAUCCCGAAUUCUAAAAAUAAAAUAAAAUUAAAAUGAGGAUUAUGCAAUUAUGAUUUUAUUUGCUUGAUGCGCACCUCAAUUGUAGUUCCUUAUGAGGUGAUCUUGCAUGAGAGCCUAACGAUUAUAGAAUCCACGUGCCAUUUUUAACCAAAAUGUGAAUUCUCACUAUCAUUUUCUGUGUGAGGUUACUAAACGAAACCUUCAGAAGCUGCCUUAACAAUACAAAAUAACUAGAUUGCCUACUUAAUUAUAAAAUGCGUUCAGUUGUUAAACCUGCGUCCGGAACCCACAAAAUCAAAUUUUCAAAUCUGCAUUAACUCACAAUUAACAAUACUAAUUAAACAUGUAGCCACAUACGACAAAAUGAACACAAGAACACGCAUUCAAAUUGGCACAACAGAUCAUAGGAGAAAUUUAAGUAGAGAGUCCACACAAACAAUGUGAUUCAGAAAGAAAAAUUAGACAAAUCCCCACUUGUUCCAUAUUGGCUUAUCUAAGUUUCAACUCUCACAGAUAGAGUCAAACAAGGAUUUUAAGAAUAAGGAUGAACCUGUUGAAGCAAAAUCUUUAUCAGUAAAGAACAAAACCAAGAGAUACAACAGUGUCGACCCCGCAAAAUCCAACCGAAGAAACAGCAACAGCUCCUAAAUUGAUCUCGGACCUCAACAGAUCCCAACGAACAAAACUCACACCACUCGGCACAAUCCAAAUUAAGCCAUUUAUAUGUAGAAAUCGAGUAGAAGAAAAUUUCUUUUAUAAUUUGAUUUUGAAAAGAAACUUGAAACCAAAUUAUUUUUUUUCAAUUUAAUUUCAUCUCUUCGAGCUAGCAGAGAAAUGGACAAAAGGUGAAGGAAAAAAAAAGAAUCUCCGUAAAUUAUUGUUUUUUUCCAUUCCCCUUUAAAC